AAUGAUAUAAGUAUGACAGAAAAAAUGAGCAAAAGGAAGAAGAAACAAAACAAGAUAAAAGAAAAGAGCAAGAUUAAGUAGAGGAAAAGAAAAUGUAGAAGAUAUUGCCAUUGAGAUUAUAUUUAUAGAUCAGGAAGAUAGUGUCAGUUUGAUAGAUGAAGGGGAUAGUGGUAGUUUGACUGUAGAUCAAGAAGAUAGUGUCAGUUUGAUUGUAGAUGAAGGGAAAAGUGGUAGUUUGGUUGUAGAUCAAGAAGAUA
rnacentral:lncRNA from 1 species